UGGCAGAGCUGCCUCUUCACCCCACCCCCAUUUCUUUCAGAUGCGGAGAUCAAAGCCCAGGCGCACCGGUGGGUCGCGAGCUCACUCCUCCAAGUACACUUGGCCAACCUCGGGGAGCCCGGCGGCAGCGGGAGGGGCGCGGGCACCUGGGGGAUGGGGGUGGGGAGCGGCCAGUCUGCUGGUCCACACCUGAAAACAGGGUUUCCCCUACCGGAUGCCUGCCGUCCCCCCUCUCCACUUGGCGGGGUCGCCUGCUAGGGUCGGGAAAGGAAGCACCCCGGGGCGGCCUCUCCACCGCCGCCCUCGGGGUUCGGUCCUCCCCCGCCAACUUCUGCCAGUCCGCGUGGAUUCCGAGCCCGGCUCCGGAAACCAGUCUGACCACUUCGCCCAUUUCCCAAGCCUCCCCGGGCGGCGGCCGGCCAGCUUCCAGGGUGCGGUGAGCCAGGCUCGGCCGCCGCCUCGGCCGCGCUGCGAUGAAUGGAUCUGCCCAGAAGGCCGGCGUCAAAGCGACGCUCCUGCCCGCGCGCCCCGGGCCUCCAGGCCGCUCCCCGCCCCGUGUCCCCCAUCGCGAAACGGACGAUUGGAUGCUCUGCUCCAGGGCUGGGGUCGCCUGUCCCCUGCCGACUUGGCGCAGAGCCGCCUUCUGCACCCGGCCCCGUGCCGCCCUGGGGUUGCUUACAGCCGGGCUGGGCCACCGAGCUGAGGCCGGAAUCGAAUGGCGGGCCGCGGAAAACCGCCAGGCCCGCAGGGGCGGCGGCGCGAGGUCCCAGAAAAGCGCCCGGGCAGCCCAAGGCCGGCCUCGAGGGGACGGGGGCGGGACAGGAGGGGACCAGCUGGCAUCGGUGACCGGCCUCAGCUGCCCGACUGCGGUGGGAGGGUGGGCAUGUGCCCCCGCAGCCACCCGCGCACGGGUUUCCAAGGCGCCAAGAGCAAUUCACCAGGUCGCUGCAAGAAAGCAACUGCUCCCCCACGUCCAGCCAGCCGCCCCGUCCAUGAGAACCACCUGGAGGGCAGGACCCAGUGCCCGGGUACCACCCGCGACGUGGCGACGGCUCUGGGAUGGCACAGGCUGGUCCUGCACCCAGGCUGGUAUGUAAAAGGUGCCCAGAAGGCCCCAUGCAUCACCAGCAUGGAGGCAGCAGCGGAAGGAAAACCAGUGCCUCUGAGAGUGGGCAACUGUGCCCCAUCCACCUCCUCUUCUUCUUGGAGAUCUCAAGAUAAGACAAGAGACAUCAACCUGGGAUUGGGUUUCUGGGGACAGAGUAAAAGUGAGCUCCUUCUGCCUGUGUAGGCAGCUUCCCCCAGUGCUGGGAUAGCCCAGAUCCCCUCCUAGGAGCAGCCCAUGCAGCUUCCCCCAGUUACUGGGAUAGCCCAGAUACCUUCCUAGGGGCAGCAACCGAAGAAGGAAGGGGACAAAAUACCAAUGACCAGAAAGAAGAAAGAACUUAGCCUCAGUCACCAGCCACUGGGAGUUGGAUGGAAAGCCCUCUGGGACAGUUUUAGCAGGAGCCCUCCAGAGCCUGAAGAGACUGAAGGUGGGGCAGGAAGUUGGGGAAGAAUUAGAGCAGUAACCCUGGCCGCUUUUGGCCUCACUGUUCUGCACAAUGAGACAUUGCUCAUCUUCACAGAACCGUGCCGUUCUGGCCAUCUGGCAUCCUAGACAAUUUUCCACUUUCUCACAGUAUCCAGCCAUCCAGCCAUCUAGCCUCCUAACUACUUCUCUCUGCUGGUCCAGCCCCGUGCUCAGGGUUAGGGAUAUUUUUAUGAAUAAAACAGACAUAGCUUCUGCCCUCGUGGAGCUUACAGCGUGGGGCGAAAGGAGACUGAUCAAAAUGCCACACACAUGUAAUUUACAAUCUUGGGAUGCGCCAAGAAGGGGAAGUGUUGGGUGCCACUGAGAACAUUCACAGAGGUUAACCUGGGGCUGAGGUGGAGGAAAGGUCAGAUGGAAGCUGUCUAACCACACUGGGCUUCUGGCUUAGGAUGUGUAGGGCUAGCAGCUCAGCCCAUGAGGUUGUGUCUUCAACUUGGGUAUUGAUGGAAUAGCUGUAGAAACAGAACCACCACGAAGUGAAGAUGGUGAAGGAAGAUCCUCUCAUCAGCUUGUGAUUGCAGGACAGAGGAGGCUGCAAGGACGCUCAGAUGUGAAGACAGGUGAGUUGCCAGUUCUGGAGUGCAGACAUGGUU
ensembl:lincRNA